rnacentral:rRNA from 1 species
AUUGAACGCUGGCGGCAGGCUUAACACAUGCAAGUCGAGCGGUAACAGGAGAAGCUUGCUUCUCGCUGACGAGCGGCGGACGGGUGAGUAAUACUUAGGAAUCUACCUAGUAGUGGGGGAUAGCCCGGGGAAACUCGAAUUAAUACCGCAUACGACCUACGGGAGAAAGGGGGCAACUUGUUGCUCUCGCUAUUAGAUGAGCCUAAGUCGGAUUAGCUAGAUGGUGGGGUAAAGGCCUACCAUGGCGACGAUCUGUAGCUGGUCUGAGAGGAUGAUCAGCCACACCGGGACUGAGACACGGCCCGGACUCCUACGGGAGGCAGCAGUGGGGAAUAUUGGACAAUGGGGGCAACCCCGAUCCAGCCAUGCCGCGUGUGUGAAGAAGGCCUUUUGGUUGUAAAGCACUUUAAGCAGUGAAGAAGACUCUAGGGUUAAUACCCUUAGACGAUGACAUUAGCUGCAGAAUAAGCACCGGCUAACUCUGUGCCAGCCGCCGCUGUAA